UCAAAAACCUCAAUCUCUGAUUUAUCAUUGGUUGGUCUUGCGUUGGAGGCGUCAGCUUCCUCUGCGAAAUUCAAUGGCGAAGAGCCACGCAACCAAAGCGUAGUAAUUUAUUCUCGUGAUGGAACGUGAGCGCUUCUGCCGCCAACCCCCCAUUCUUAGUUUUUGACCUCGGAUCAGGUAGGGAUACCCGCUGAACUUAA
rnacentral:misc_RNA from 1 species